GAUUAUGGCUCAGAUUGAACGCUGGCGGCGUGCUUAACACAUGCAAGUCGCGCGUGAAAGGACUUCGGUCCGAGUAAAGCGGCGCACGGGUGAGUAACGCGUGGAUGAUCUACCCAUGAGUUAGGAAUAACGGCUGGAAACGGUCGCUAAUACCAAAUACGCUCCGAUUUCAACUUCGGGGGAAAGGUGGCCUCUGCUUGCAAGCUACUGCUCAUGGAUGAGUCCGCGUCCCAUUAGCUAGUUGGUGGGGUAACGGCCCACCAAGGCGACGAUGGGUAGCCGGUCUGAGAGGAUGACCGGCCACACUGGGACUGGAACACGGCCCAGACUCCUACGGGAGGCAGCAGUGGGGAAUAUUGCGCAAUGGGCGAAAGCCUGACGCAGCGACGCCGCGUGAGGGAUGAAGGUCCUCGGAUCGUAAACCUCUGUCAGGAGGGAAGAACCGCCACGGUGCUAAUCAGCCGUGGUCUGACGGUACCUCCAAAGGAAGCACCGGCUAACUCCGUGCCAGCCGCUGC
rnacentral:rRNA from 1 species